UACGUAGGGUGCAAGCGUUAAUCGGAAUUACUGGGCGUAAAGCGUGCGCAGGCGGUUGUGCAAGACAGAUGUGAAAUCCCCGGGCUCAACCUGGGAAUUGCAUUUGUGACUGCACGGCUAGAGUGUGUCAGAGGGGGGUAGAAUUCCACGUGUAGCAGUGAAAUGCGUAGAGAUGUGGAGGAAUACCGAUGGCGAAGGCAGCCCCCUGGGAUAACACUGACGCUCAUGCACGAAAGCGUGGGGAGCAAACAGGG
rnacentral:rRNA from 1 species